CUGACUUGCGUGCAGGAAUCUACUCUCGGA
rnacentral:piRNA from 1 species